UACGGAGGGAGCUAGCGUUGUUCGGAAUUACUGGGCGUAAGCGUACGUAGGCGGUUAUUCAAGUCAGAGGUGAAAGCCCGGGGCUCAACCCCGGAACUGCCUUUGAAACUAGAUAGCUAGAAUCUUGGAGAGGUCAGUGGAAUUCCGAGUGUAGAGGUGAAAUUCGUAGAUAUUCGGAAGAACACCAGUGGCGAAGGCGGCUCACUGGCCCGGUACUGACGCUGAGGUGCGAAAGCGUGGGGAGCAAACAGG
rnacentral:rRNA from 1 species